ensembl:lncRNA
GCCAAGCCUCCAGUCAGGAAAGUCCAAGUCCCAGUCAAGUCUCAUGUCCCUGAUGUCCAAGUCCCAGUCAAGUCUGAAGUCCCUAAGGUCCAAGUCAAGUCUCACGUCCCUGAGCGCCAAGUCAAGUCUCACGUCCCUGAGCUCCAGGUCAAGCCUCCAGUCCCUGAGCUCCAGGUCAAGCCUCCAGUCCCUGAGCUCCAGGUCAAGCCUCCAGUCCCUGAGCUCCAGGUCAAGCCUUCAGUCCCUGAGCUCCAGGUCAAGCCUCCAGUCCCUGAGCUCCAGGUCAAGCCUCCCGUCCCUGAGCUCCAGGUCAAGCCUCCAGUCCCUGAGCUCCCGUUCAAGGCUGCUGACACGCCCAGCCAAGCUCUGCUCACGCCACAGGCUGCUGACACGCACAGCCAAGCUCUGCUCACGCCACAGGCUGCUGACACGCACAGCCAAGCUC